UUGGAGGGCAGUCUGGUGCCAGCAGCCGCGGUAAUUCCAGCUCCAAUAGCGUAUAUUAAAGUUGUUGCAGUUAAAAAGCUCGUAGUUGAAUUUCGGGGUCAGUAGGUUGGUCAUGCCACUGGUAUGUACUGGUCUCACUGAUUCCUCCUUCCUGAUGAGCCGUAAUGCCAUUAAUUUGGUGUUGCGAGGAAUCUGGACUGUUACUUUGAAAAAAUUAGAGUGUUUAAAGCAAGCUAACGCUUGAAUACAUUAGCAUGGAAUAAUGAAAUAGGACGUUCGAUCCUGUUUUGUUGGUUUCUAGGAUUGACGUAAUGAUUAAUAGGGAUAGUUGGGGGCAUUAGUAUUCAAUUGUCAGAGGUGAAAUUUUUGGAUUUAUUGAAGACUAACUACUGCGAAAGCAUUUGCCAAGGAUGUUUUCAUUAAUCAAGAACGAAAGUUAGGGGAUCGAAGACGAUCAGAUACCGUCGUAGUCUUAACCAUAAACUAUGCCGACUAGGGAUCGGAUGAUGUUAAUUUUUUAAUGACUCAUUCGGCGCCUUACGGGAAAC
rnacentral:rRNA from 1 species